UUGGUGGGGUAACGGCUCACCAAGGCAAACGAUGCGUAGCCGNCCUGAGAGGGUGAUCGGCCACAUUGGGACUGAGACACGGCCCAAACUCCUACGGGAGGCAGCAGUAGGGAAUCUUCCGCAAUGGACGAAAGUCUGACGGAGCAACGCCGCGUGAGUGAAGAAGGCCUUCGGGUCGUAAAGCUCUGUUGCCGGGGAAGAACAAGUGCCGUUCGAACAGGGCGGUGCCUUGACGGUACCCGGCCAGAAAGCCACGGCUAACUACGUGCCAGCAGCCGCGGUAAUACGUAGGUGGCAAGCGUUGUCCGGAAUUAUUGGGCGUAAAGCGCGCGCAGGCAGCUUCUUAAGUCUGAUGUGAAAUCUUGCGGCUCAACCGCAAGCGGUCAUUGGAAACUGGGAGGCUUGAGUGCAGAAGAGGAGAGUGGAAUUCCACGUGUAGCGGUGAAAUGCGUAGAGAUGUGGAGGAACACCAGUGGCGAAGGCGGCUCUCUGGUCUGUAACUGACGCUGAGGCGCGAAAGCGUGGGGAGCAAACAGGAUUAGAUACCCUGGUAGUCCACGCCGUAAACGAUGAGUGCUAAGUGUUAGAGGGUUUCCGCCCUUUAGUGCUGCAGCUAACGCAUUAAGCACUCCGC
rnacentral:rRNA from 1 species